UGAGAGUUUUAUUAUGAUUUAAUUAAGAGAGGAACAAAACUUUGGGCUAGUGUUAUUUUAAAGUGAAAUGGGCUAAAAAAAUCGGACCAAAUCAUUGGCCCAAUUGCACCAACCCAGACCAAUUGAUGGCUUGCCAAGACCCGGAUCAAAACGACGUAGUUUCAUAAUAAAACUACGUCGUUUCACUAAAUGAAACAAGAUCAAAUCUUACCCCUCCAUUCCAUCUUGAUCCAAUGGAUCUCAUUGACUCUUGGCCUAGGUAUUUAAAGCCUCCAAAAUCUGAAAAAUUUCCCCAUUUCCACCCAUAAUUCUUUUCUCUUUUUCUCUCUUAUCACUCUCUCCCCUCUCUCUGCCACGCCGCCCCACCGUCGCCCGUCGCCGCCGGCCGGAAAUCGCCGCCGCCGGCCGGAAAUCGCCGCCGCCGGCGGCAACCCUCCAAUCCACCCUAAAAUUUUACCAUCUCUUCCCCUCUUCCUCCUCUUUCUACCUAUACCACUCAUAUCCUCCAAAUCUCCACCAAUCUCCGUAGAUCUACAAAAAUCCGAAACCCUAGCCGCCGCCCACCACCCCAAAUUUCGGAAAUUUUACACCACCGGCCUCCUCUUCUCCCCCUCUUUCCAUAUCUCCGACUCAAAAAUAAAAAAAAAAACCCACGCCGCCCUAGCGCCACCACCACUGCCCUAGCGCCGCCGCCACUUCCGCCCACUGCCGCCCGUUUCUUUUCUCUAACCGGCCUCGAGCAAGGUUGUGUCGUUGAUAUUAUUGAAACCGGACUCGGAUUCACCGGAAUUUUUUGGUCUCAAGAAUAUCAACAAUAGAAGCUUGCUCGAAAGUCGUACCACUGCCUAUCAUCGUCUCCCGGAUGCUCGAGUAUAUGAUAUUUUCACAUUAACAAGAAGAUUGGAACUCAUCUUGAUUGUUGGGAGCAUAUCCAUUUAAAUAAAUGAGUGCUUAGCUAAAUUUCUUUAUUGUUUAAAUAUAUCUUGUUGUAGUUCAUAUGUAAAAAAUAAAUCCUUGGUUGAUCAAACACUCUUUAUUCAUGUGUUAUUUGUCUUUACUAUCUAUUAUAGUUUUGAUGCAUAUAAAAUGAGAUGUUUCAAGUA